GCUCGAGUGGCGAACGGGUGAGUAACACGUGAGUAACCUGCCCUUGACUUUGGGAUAACUUCAGGAAACUGGGGCUAAUACCGGAUAGGAGCUCCUGCUGCAUGGUGGGGGUUGGAAAGUUUCGGCGGUUGGGGAUGGAUCGCGGCUUAUCAGCUUGUUGGUGGGGUAGUGGCUUACCAAGGCUUUGACGGGUAGCCGGCCUGAGAGGGUGACCGGCCACAUUGGGACUGAGAUACGGCCCAG
rnacentral:rRNA from 1 species